AUGGUAAAUUAGAUAUUCACUAUAUAUGAAAAUAUAUUUUUAACAUUUUGUAAUUUUUGCUUAUAUUGGAACUCUUCGUCUUUUGUUGCCUGCAGAAAUGCUUCUUUCAAAUAUUCCCAUAUUUCCUUUAUUGUGGAAUAUCCUACUACAAGAUACAUGCUUUCUUCAGUCAUAGUUCCUGAUAUCCAAGUUUGCAAUAAGACAUCAUUCUUUUCCCAAUCAUCCUUCUCACUUGGUUUAUCAACUUUCUUUAACGUAGAAGUUUCACUCUUCUCUACAUCAAAUGUUGUUGUUUUGUUAAGUUUGUCAUUCUUGACCAAUGUAGUCCCUUUUGUGACUUACAUAAGUUGCCUAACCUAUGUUCUCAUAAUUCGCGGGCUGAACUUUGAUAGGACAAACAACAAUGAGGUGGUGCAAAUAGACUACUAAAAGUGAUAGGAGAAUUGAGGGCGAAACAGUAUUUGGUGCCAUUGUUUUGGACAAAUGAUCUUACAAAAUAUUUGUAGUGUAAGGUUAAGAUUGCUCUAAUACCAUGUAAAAAUAUACAAUACAAGAAAUGAGGAAAUUGGAG
rnacentral:lncRNA from 1 species